rnacentral:lncRNA from 1 species
UUUAAAGAAGUCAUUGUAUUGCUUUCUUACUCAUGGACUUUGGACAAGAAAGUUUUAAAGAAGGUUUUUAGCCCUGGAGGAUAAAUGUCUGGAGUGUGUGUUGCAACUUGCUGAGGAGUUACGAUGCUGAUACAUUGAUGCUGUUGACCUGCCACCAACAGGAUAUGACCUUUGAGACAUUGAUUUCCCAAAGAAGCAUCUAUGUAACUUGUUCCCUUGACAUCGAUUUCUGAAUUGUCUCCUUGAAAAAAUGGAAGUCACCUACAAAAGAGUUGCAGGAAAAGUAGAAGACAUUGCUCCAUGAAGGAAGCAUGAAUGGUUACUUCAAAAGUUGGGAUAUAUGUGAGCAAGACUGUGGAUAGACAGAGACACUUCACAUUCUCUUGCAAAACUAUGUGUAUACAUCCCCCUGAGAAAUACGACUUUUCAUUUAGAUCAAUGUUCAUGUUGGGGGAGAGAGAGGAGACCUUUAUUUCUUCAAGGAAACACGAACUGGGUUAACCAUGGCUGCCUCUGGGUAGUGGGAUGGAGGAGUCUGAAAGGACGGGAUGCUCUGCUGCUCUGGACCACACUCAGGCGGUUCAUGUUUAAGAAGCUUGAGAAAAGCUUUAGGAGAGAUGCCUUCCCAGACUUGUGCUGUGCGGGGGGACGGAGGAAAGGAGGUGUGCCCGCUGAUCAUCUUUGGUGCCUUUCAAUGUUCUGCUGCAAAUGUCUUCAACAGCCAAAUCUCCUGACAGAAAGCAUCACCACGUGAAGAAUGCACCUGGGACACCUUCUCUAACCCUCCCCAGCCUCUCCGCCACCACACCUGACGCACCCUCUGCAAUACAGCACAUCAUGUACUGAACCGCUGCAGGCCACACUGAAGAACUGCCCUCUGGUUGUCACAUUGCUCCCCGGGGUGCAUUCUUCGUCCCCAAAUCUCUGAAGAGCACAGCUCUGUACCCUGAAGGCUGGCAGGACUUACUUAGGAAAACUAUCGCUUUGAGGCCCACACUGCCUAGAAAAACACGAUGAACUUGGUGACCAGAUGAUACCAUUUAACAUAUGAUUCUACAGCAGAACCUCCGACUAUGAACAUCCUAUUGCGAAUAUCCUAUACAGAAUCAGGCAUAAGGGUCAGCUUUGGAAAGACUCGGCUUUGACCUGCUUACGUACCACUCACUCCCUCGGUUCCCCGAAACACCUCUCCCAGAAGCUCCAGAUCAGUUGCUGGGUGUUAAAUGAGAUCCAAAACAUCAGGCCCAGAGCACAGUGACUGCCUGAGCAGGACCAAGUGACUGAGAAAAGAAGCAAAGUGCAACUCUAUUUGAAAAAAUGGAAGCCAGUGUUCUGUGAUGGCAGAAAAAUUAAUAAAACUGGCCCCCCCCAGUAAUCCAGAAGAUGGAAAAAGCACAGCGAAACUUGCAGCCUUGGCUAAAGAGGUUCCACGAAUGUUGAAAGUGCCAGCCGUCUUCUUUGUAACUGUGUAUAAGGUCAGAUAUUUUGAUCGAAAGUGAAAGCGUAUCUGACUUACUCUGCCCUGCUUUUAGCAUCAUGUAGAGUUCCAUGGAAAUAAAAGAAGAAAAAGCAUGAAAACAACUGAAGCUAAGGAGUCAGAACGAAGGUCGAUGUCGUCAUUUAAAUACAACAACAAAAAAGACCCUCACAAAUCAAGCCUGGAGAGAGAUUACUGGAGAUUGACAGGAUGAGAAACUACUGGUAUGUGAGACAAGCUCCUGGGGAGAGUUUCUGAUGCCAGGAUGCUCUGGAGCACCUCCCAGUGUGGCGUGACGAUCAGGUAAGCAAAGAUAAACGUAGGAAGAUUAUGAUACCCAGAGGAACCCUGGGAUGCAGCCCUGAGAUGCAGUGGGUGUUGAAGAUGCGUUCUAAAGACUCAGGAGGCAUUUUCUGGAAGGAGACUAACUGGAGGACAUGUAUAAGAAUGGUCUGACUGGUCCAGUGAACUGUAUGUGCAAAGAACAACCAGGAAGACGGUAUGAACUUCACGGCACUGCACAUAGUUCGGUAUUGCUGAAAGGAAGAAGGCAACUAUGACUCAGACUGGUAAGAAAGGAGGAAAGAAAUGUGAACCCUAAUGUCAUGAAGUUUCCGGUCCAGUGACGGAUACAGGUCAACAGACAGCUGCGAUUUUAACGGGGAACAUUGAGCUGCUGCAUCGUAUGACUUGGUCCAGAGCAAUGCUGCCCCACGGAAAGAGGAUGCAAGCCACAGAUGUGAGGGACACGUGUGAUUUAAAAUUUUCUGGCAUCCACAUUUCAAAAGAAAAAAAAAAGAGGAGAAAAUGGAGGCAGCGAGGUUAAGGAACUUGUUUGCGGUCACUCAGCUUGACAGUUGGAGCUGGGAUAUCAAACCCAGGCAGCAUGUCCCCUUGUGGCUCAGCGGGCCACACCCAUGGCAUGUGGCACUCCUGCAUGAUUUUAAAAAUGAAGAAUCCUUGUAUCGGAACGACUUACAAGAUGGAAUAAAACCUCAGGCAUAAGCCUUGAGCACGACGAACCCACAGGCACCCAACUGCUGGUGGAAACUGAAGGGGUCCUCAUCCUGCCUGCCCUCUGAGUUCUCAGAAAAGAGAAACACAGGAGAUCCUCGUUCUUUCCUUAUGCUCUUGUUAUCAGUGAAGAAACUUCAAGCCGCCCGGUGCAGAAAACCUAGCCAAUGGACAGAGGGUCGAAUCGAACAGAUGUUUUAUAAGUGGCAUCCAGUGAGACGGUGGAGAAUAUGUGCGAGCAGAAAAGACACACGCAACAGGUCUUCUCCACCGCUUGUAGCCUCCUUCAUGUGUCACACUUGUGACCCAUGGUGUACAAAAUUCAGAGACAAGGAGAGCACAAGGGUAAUCAGCUAACACUUGUGCCAUCUGGAAUCCUAAAUCAGCGAUCCAGCUGUGGUGUGCCGUCUCCCUUUGCUUUUCAAUCCUUGAGUCAUCGUUGUGCAAGAUGGCAGUCACUGCUUCUCAGUGGUAAUCAAGCCUUGGAGUGGUUACACCCCGAACAAAAUAUCGGGUCCUUGGCCAAAUUUUUAUCAGGAGGCGUUGCAGAAACUCAUUAACUCAUUUGAGUCAAAGAUCCAGAUGGGGAAACCGAGGCACAGAGAGGUGAAUUUCUUUUUUCAAGAUGAUGAUGGUGUAAGUACUGGUUAUAGAUUGGACUUGAACCGAGAAUCCAUGCAUUUAACCAUAAUCUCUCUGAUCCAGUUCCCUUAUCUCUUUAAAAACGGAGUGUUGGCGUUCCUGUCCUGGCUCAGUGGUAACAAACCCGACUAGUAUCCAUGAGGACAUGGGUUCAAUCCCUGGCCUCGCUCAGUGGGUUAAGGAUCUUCUGGCGUUGCCAUGAGCUGUGGUGUAGGUCACAGAUGCGGCUGGGAUCUGGCGUUGCUAUGGCUGUGGUGCAGGCCAGCAGCUGCAGCUCUGAUUCCACCCCCAGCCUGGGAACUUCCAUAUGCCGCAGGUGCAGCCCUAAAAAAAAGGAGGGGGCAAAAAAAAGAAAAAUGGAAAGGUAACUGCAGAUCUCAAAAAUUCUGAGCCAUCUGGAAGGUAGUAAUUCAGUUGCAAGCUAGAACCUGUCGACCCGUCUCCCAAUUGUAUUCUGGUGUAAUUUCCCUAAGAAAUAAGACAAAGAUAAACAAAGCGCAGACUAAAGCCCUGGACAAACCUAGAUGGUGGGUUUGAGAAAGAAGCUAGAAUGUUGCACUAGUGCUUUGUGAUAAUGAAGAGUCCAAGCCACAGCGACUAAUCAGCAGGUAAGGACCUGUUUCAAAAUCGUCAUGUCAGGUCCUUACCUGCUGAGGAGUCAGAUCCAUAAAGGCUCUAGAAAGAGCCUGUCCUGGGAGUUCUAAGGAGGAGGUCAGCUUUGCUGCUAACGCUUUGGUCCACAACCCCUUCACCUGUACUCAGCCUCGUCUUUCUUGCCCGUGCCCCCUCUCCUACCGCCCCCACCCCCGCCCCCAGACAGGCCUUCUGCUGCUGAAGAAAAGAAUCUGAAAGUAGAGCCACAGUCCACAAAGCUGACAGGGACAAGCAGGUGAUGGCAAUCCUAAGGUCCCCGUAGAAACAGCCGCCCACCCCCUCCGCCGUCAAACAGCCCACUUCCCUUGGUGUUAUUUGCAGACCCGAGCAAAGCCUUCUUGGCCUCCUAGCCUUUGGGGGUCACGAGCAGACUUGCCAAAUCAAGCUUUAGGCUCCAAGUUCGCAGCGAUUUUCCCACACCCACCGGAAGAGCUGCACUGGCUGUGGGGCCCAAAGCCAAUGGCAGAGAGGAUGGAGCCACCUGUAACGGGGGAGGCGUAGAUGGGUUAUCUGGGUCUCACCAGACCCCGAUCUGAAACAAGCGGAGCCAAGGCCAGCACUCCAGCUCUGAUAGGGGAAGGGGCGCUGGAGGCCAAGGAGAUGGGGUGAAAAGACUCACCUUCCUUACCUGAGAAAUCAGGGACCAGCUAUCAUAGGGAAAUCGCCCCAGCAUAAUAAGG